GUGAGGAAUAUUGCGCAAUGGAGGCAACUCUGACGCAGCCAUGCCGCGUGCAGGAAGAAGGCGCUACGCGUUGUAAACUGUUUUUAACCGGGAAGAAACCCCAGGACGUGUCCUGGGUUGACGGUACCGGAGGAAUAAGCACCGGCUAACUUCGUGCCAGCAGCCGCGGUAAUACGAAGGGUGCAAGCGUUAUCCGGAUUCAUUGGGUUUAAAGGGUGCGUAGGCGGAGCGUUAAGUCAGUGGUGAAAUCCUGCAGCUUAACUGUAGACUUGCCAUUGAUACUGGCGCUCUUGAGUGCGCUUGAAGUGGGCGGAAUGUGCCGUGUAGCGGUGAAAUGCUUAGAUAUGGCACAGAACACCAAUUGCGAAGGCAGCUCACUAAGGCGAUACUGACGCUGAGGCACGAAAGCGUGGGGAUCGAACAGGAUUAGAUACCCCUGUAGUCC
rnacentral:rRNA from 1 species